rnacentral:rRNA from 1 species
UACGUAGGGUGCAAGCGUUAGUCGGAAUUACUGGGCGUAAAGCGUGCGCAGGCGGCUUUGCAAGACAGAUGUGAAAUCCCCGGGCUUAACCUGGGAACUGCAUUUGUGACUGCAUGUCUGGAGUGCGGCAGAGGGGGAUGGAAUUCCGCGUGUAGCAGUGAAAUGCGUAGAUAUGCGGAGGAACACCGAUGGCGAAGGCAAUCCCCUGGGCCUGCACUGACGCUCAUGCACGAAAGCGUGGGGAGCAAACAGG